GGGAACCCUUGCGGCCCUCCCACCCCUGGUGGCUACAGCAAGCCCCCCGAAGGGGCUAUAGUUGCCGCACAUCAACACUUUCAAUGAUCCAUCUGCCCAAGAAGAGAAGAGGGAUCGUCUGCCCGGAGUGUAAAGCCAACACAGAAGCAAUGGAAAUAAUCCACGAAUGAGGUGGCAUUUAUAGC